AUUGAACGCUGGCGGCGUGCUUAACACAUGCAAGUCGAUCGGUAACGCGGGGGCAACCCUGGCGACGAGAGGCGGACGGGUGAGGAACGCUUGGGAAUCUGCCUAUCAGCGGGGGACAACCCGGGGAAACUCGGGCUAAUACCGCAUACGCUCUACGGAGGAAAGCCGGGGACCGCAAGGCCUGGCACUGAUAGAUGAGCCCAAGUCGGCUUAGCUAGUUGGCGGGGUAACGGCCCACCAAGGCGACGAUCCGUAGCUGGUCUGAGAGGGCGCUCAGCCACACUGGGCCUGAGAGACGGCCGCGACUCGUGCGGGAGGCAGCAGUGGGGAAUAUUGGACAAUGGGGGAAACCCUGAUCCAGCGACUCCGCGUGGGUGAAGAAGGCCUGCGGGUUGUAAAGCCCUUUCGGUAGGGACGAAAACUCUCGACUUAACACGUCGGGAGCUUGACUUAACCUACAAAAGAAGCACCGGCUAACUCUGUGCCAGCCGCCGCAGUAAAAC
rnacentral:rRNA from 1 species